AGGGUGAGGGAGGCGCAGACUCCGCUGCCCCGGGGUCUGGGGGGCCCGGGGGGGACGGAGGCGCAGGCCAGUCGCCUUCGGAGGGGACGACGCCGUUGAGUGGCCCGGGCCGGGGCGCUGGCGGGGACAGCGAGAAGCGCACGUGAGCCCGCGGAUUAGAGCCCGUGGUCGAGAGCGCGGUCCUGGAGGCAGGAGGGGGUCGAUGAAGGUCGAUUGUCGGAUCAGAGCUGGUUCUAGAAACAUCCCGCGGCGGAGCGCAGGGCGGAGCGGAGCUGGGAGGCCCAGGGAGGAAAUGGCUGAAGUCGUCCGGACCCAGGUUUCCACGUGAGGGCUGUGAGCUAGAAGCCGGGGACAAAAGGCCAGCAAGACAAAGAUCACGGCCCAGCAGACAGGCCAACGAGACGGGAUGAGGUGAUCAAUCGUUCACAGGUGAUGCUAGGUUUCCUUUUCAAUGCUCCACUCUGCCCUACUGAGGGAAACCGCUGUCUGAACAGGAAGACUCGACAGAUGCCUAACCCGCUUCCCAGCUCCAUCCCCCUGUGUGUGUGUAGCCCAAGAACAGGGAGCUCAUCCCUCUCACCUCUAACACGAAGGCUUCUACUUUGGAGGUACCAUUUCCCUCUUCAAGGGGGCAGGAACAGUCUUACAAAGUCACUUACUACGUAAGACCAUGGAAUGAAUGAUGCAGCUGCACAACCAAGGUGAGAUCCAUGCUUUAUGAACACAUUAUUCUCACAUGUCCCAGUGACAGGUUUAAUACACAAGAUUCUCAGUUCAUUUUACAGACUCUGGAACCAAGUUGUUCAGAAGAUGAAUUCUGAAACCAUAGUUGGUGUAGCAAAUUAAUAUAUCAAAACAAAUAAAAACUUCAAAUAUUUACAUUUAAAAAAGACAUUUAAAAAACAGGCUACUUAUUAAGUAAGUGUGCUUGAACAAACCAUGUGUGGAAUUGAAUUCCAUUCAUUAUGGAGUUAGUUUCUGUUAAACACUGACACUACAGAGACCCCUGGCAUCUGAGGACUCAAGAAUUUAAGUGUUCCCAAUCUAUGCUAAAAAACAAAACAUGACAGAUGAUUUCCGUGCGCUAAUUUGAACCUCAGAUAUGGAAGGUCUAGUACAUAUAAGGCAGAUUACUCAGGAGUCAGAAGGCCUGGCACUUGUAACUCAGCGUGGCUUUCCCAUUGCCUAAGUAUCACCAGGAAUUCAAUAAAAUGCUCUGUAGAGGUCAUUUAAAUUUUUUGAUUACACCUUACUUCAUUAUGUCCUAGUAAUUUCACAAAUUUGGACAUUCACAAAAAUGUUUUGAAAUAUAUCGAUAUUCCUUGAGAAGGUGGAGGGUCUCCUAUAUUACAUCAAAUAAAAACCAUGCAGUUUCUUAGAGCUCACAGAGCUUUCCAAAAUAAACUACUGAUCAUACAGCCCAAUUAAAAACUCAAAACACUUUAUAUUACAGGUAUAGAAAGCUUCUUUAGCUCAGCAUUGCCAAUAUAGUUAAUUUGACACCUUAGCCCUACUUCCAAAGCGGUUAACAGCUUUACAGUGACUUUUUUUUUUUUUUUUUGCGGUACGCGGGCCUCUCCCGCUGCGGAGCGCAGGCUCCAGACGUGCAGGCUCAGCGGCCAUG